GACGAACGCUGGCGGCGUGCUUAACACAUGCAAGUCGAACGGUGAUGCUCCAGCUUUCUGGAGUGGAUCAGUGGCGAACGGGUGAGUAACACGUGAGCAACCUGCCCCAGACUCUGGAAUAAGCGCUGGAAACGGCGUCUAAUACUGGAUACGAAACUGGCCCGCAUGGGCAUGGUUUGGAAAGUUUUUCGGUUUGGGAUGGGCUCGCGGCCUAUCAGCUUGUUGGUGAGGUAAUGGCUCACCAAGGCGACGACGGGUAGCCGGCCUGAGAGGGCGACCGGCCACACUGGGACUGAGACACGGCCCAGACUCCUACGGGAGGCAGCAGUGGGGAAUAUUGCACAAUGGGCGAAAGCCUGAUGCAGCGACGCCGCGUGAGGGAUGACGGCCUUCGGGUUGUAAACCUCUUUCAGCAGGGAAGAAGCGAAAGUGACGGUACCUGCAGAAGAAGCACCGGCUAACUACGUG
rnacentral:rRNA from 1 species